UGGGCCCCAAGGACACCUGCAGGCAAGCUGUCCCAGAGAUCACGGGAAAGAAAGGCUCACGAACCGAAAUAAAGAGCUUGAAUCACGCGGUGCAGCGAAGCAACCGGAGACACACGGUGUGGCCAUGUGACCUCGUUCUGGCCAAUGGCAUGUGAACAGAAAAGGUGGAUGUCACAUCCGGGUCUGGCCCAUAGAAACCUCCCAUGUGUUCCUUCUGCUCCACAUCUUGGUACAAAUGAAUCCAUCAGAGCAACAAGAUGGAAGGCACGUGGGUCCCUGAGCCAGUUGUAGAGAGGAGAGCCACUGUCCUUCGGGAACACCCACUUUUGGAUUUCACAUCAGCGAGCUCGUGUUGCACGCCACUCCCCAUGCACGUUUGAACGAAUCUACUUCCUGUUCAAUAAGAGUCCACUGAUCACCGGCCUGGAUGUUACAAGGUCAAGUUGCUUUCAAGGUUUCAGAAUGUUUACCCUUUCGCUUAUCUUAUUGUGGACUAGCAUGGGCCACAGACCACGCUUUGAGCAGCGCUCGUCUAUAAGAUGGAGUAAAUGGCAAAUUCUGAUGCCUGUUUGCCACCACAGGAAUUGGCAUUGUCUUUAACCUGAAACUAUCUCCAAGGAGAGCCAAUGAGAUGUCAGGAAGCAUGUGCUGGAGCCUUAUGGGAAAGUGAUGCUAACGGUGUCCUCCUUGGGAGCUAUCAGAAGGAGUGAGUCCCUUUUCCUCUGGCCACUGUGAGGAUGUGAGGUCCGGAAGGGUGGCAGCCAUUUUGUAAGCCAUCUGCAGCUGGAGGCAAGCCAUUGUUUGGAAUUUGGCAAUGAAGUCAAUACCACACGAGGCUGUGUGGCAAGAUACCGUGGGAGACCUGGGAGACACGGGAUUGGAAUUUGUCUGAAGGCCAUCUGACUUCGGGACUUUUGAGUUAUGUUGGAGCCUAUAAAUAUUACCACAUAUUCCCACUUUUAUUCAUGCUGUUCCCUUUGACUGGAAUCCUCUUCCAUCUCCAUCCUUCAAGGUCAGGUCCAAAUGCCACGCAUCUAAGAAACUUGCCUUGAUGUGAACCACGCUUGAGAUGGUCAGAACUAUGUCCCCCUCCUCUGGAUGCUAAUGCCCCUUACUUGAACUUCUCCUUCAUCAAGGAGCGCGUGCCACCCUGAAAAGCGUGAAGAUGCAAGUGUGACUCUCCACCUCCCCUGUGGGGACCUAAGCUCUGGCUUCGUCUGUCCCCGGCUUUAGAAUUGCACUGGACACACUGAAUCUGCAAAGUGACACAAUCCCGUUCCUAGAAAGGAACGUUAAUAUUGGGAUGUCAUCGUCAGAAGCCGAGAAAGCGCGUCCAAGCAUAUGGGCUUCUUAGCUAAAGCCAGAGGCAAAGAAACUGGGUAAAAGCUGCAGGUGGGUGGGUCCCUGGGCCACUGCAGCUGUUGAGGGCAAGCGAGGACUUGCCUUAAGGGGGAGGAGUCACA